CCUACGGGCGGCAGCAGUGAGGAAUAUUGGUCAAUGGUCGAGAGGCUGAACCAGCCAAGUCGCGUGAGGGAAGACGGCCCUACGGGUUGUAAACCUCUUUUGUCGGGGAGUAAAGCGAACCACGUGUGGUUCAUUGAGAGUACCCGAAGAAAAAGCAUCGGCUAACUCCGUGCCAGCAGCCGCGGUAAUACGGAGGAUGCGAGCGUUAUCCGGAUUUAUUGGGUUUAAAGGGAGCGUAGGCGGGUUGUCAAGCCUGCUGUGAAAGGUCGGGGCUCAACCCGGGCCUUGCAGGGAGGACUGGCGUGCUGGAGUACGCGGGAGGCAGGCGGAAUUCGUGGUGUAGCGGUGAAAUGCUUAGAUAUGACGAAGAACCCCGAUUGCGAAGGCAGCUUGCUAAAGCGGAACUGACGCUGAUGCUCGAAAGCGCGGGUAUCGAACAGGAUUAGAUACCCUUGUAGUC
rnacentral:rRNA from 1 species